AUGGACAGGGCUAGGAAUUUCAUACCUGGCCCUAAUCAGGAGCUUCUGGAUGCCAAGCCAUUAAGGUCUUUAGCUCCAAUGUUCCCUGCACCUAUGGGAGUCAACAUUAAUCAGUCAAGCACCUCACCGUUGGUCGUUGUGACUCCGGUUGGCCAGUUUCCUACAGGAUUUGGUGCUGGGAGCCUUCCUGCCUUUGGACCGUUCACCACCUUCAGUGCUACUGCGAAUGCUUUUUCGCCUGCAGGCACAAGUGCUAAUGUGCCCAUUGAUGUUACCCCCGUCUCAGCAUACAAGACGAGAUCAUCUGGGGUUACACCACUUAAUGAUGACGGUGAACCUUAUUCGGUUAGUCAGACUUCGGCAUCUGAACGUCAGGCUAAGAGGUCAGCUGGUUUGGCUGCUGAGGGCUCAAAUGGAGUUAAGGUCAAGCGCCCUAAGCCUAUCUACAAGAAUCAUGUUUCUGGCAAGCUGCUUGCUUUUCUGCCGACUUCAGAUAGUACUCCUAGGGAGGCUGUGGAAGCAGUUCAUAUGACCUUUGAGGCACUCAGGCGUAGACAUCUUCAGAUGGAUGAAACGCUAGACGCCAGAAGACGUGCAGACCUGAAAGCUGGCGCUAUCAUGAUGGCCAGUGAUAUCAGGGCCAAUGUGGGAAAGAGAGUAGGGACUGCUCCUGGUGUUGAAAUAGGCGAUAUUUUCUAUUUCAGGAUGGAGCUAUGCAUCAUCGGGUUGCACGCGCCUAGCAUGAGUGGCAUUGAUUACAUGAGUGCCAAAUUUGGAAAUGGUGAGGAUUCUGUAGCAAUAUGUAUUGUUGCGGCAGGUGGUUAUGAGAAUGAUGAUGAUGACACAGACACGCUGGUGUACAGUGGUUCAGGGGGUAACAGUAGGAAUACGGAGGAGAGGCAUGACCAGAAGCUUGAGAGGGGUAACCUUGCUCUCGAGAGGAGUUUGCACAGGAAGAAUGAGAUAAGGGUCGUGCGGGGAUUCAAAGAUCCAGCUACGUUAGCUGGCAAAAUCUACAUAUACGAUGGCCUCUAUAAAAUCCAGGAGUCCUGGAAGGAGAGAACAAAGUUUGGCAUCAACUGCUUCAAGUACAGGCUGCAGCGUGAACCUGGACAGCGUGAUGGAGCUGCGAUAUGGAAGAGGACGCAGCGAUGGAUACAAAAUGCAUCCACAAGAGGCAAGGUUAUACAACAUGACCUAUCAUCUGGGGCUGAAACGUUCCCAGUUUGUGUCGUCAAUGAGGAAGACCAUGAGAAAGGACCUGGGCAUUUCACCUAUACUACUGAGGUCAAAUACCCGAGACCUCUAAGCUCCAUGAAAGCCUUGCAGGGUUGCGGUUGCCAGAGUGUUUGCCUACCCGGCGAUGCAAACUGUGCUUGUGGGCAACAUAAUGAAGGUGAUCUACCGUACAGCUCAGCAGGAGUGUUGGUGUGCCGCAAGCCAGUAAUAUAUGAAUGUGGUGAAGCUUGCCAUUGCAGCCUGAAUUGUCGGAACAGAGUGAGCCAAAAGGGGAUCAGGUACCACUUUGAGGUCUUCAGGACCACAAAUCGAGGCUGGGGUCUUCGCUGUUGGGAUCCUAUUCGUGCUGGUGCAUUUGUUUGUGAGUAUGCUGGGGAGGUCAUUGAUGAGCUUCAAGUUAAUUUGAAUGACAGUGAAGAUGAUUACAUUUUUCAGACCGUGUGUCCUGGUGAGAAGACGCUAAAAUGGAACUCUGGGCCUGAAUUGAUAGGCGAGGAAAGCACAUAUGUAUCACCUGAUGAAUUCCAGCCGCUGCCCAUCAAGAUAAGUGCAAAACAGAUUGGAAAUGUCUCACGUUUCAUGAACCACAGUUGCUCCCCAAAUGUCUUCUGGCAACCAGUGCAAUACGACCAUGGAGAUGACAAGCACCCACAUAUAAUGUUCUUUGCACUUAAUCACAUCCCUCCCAUGACGGAGUUAACUUAUGACUACGGUGUGGUUGGAGCUGGGACCAGUCGUAGCAAGACCUGCCUGUGUGGAUCAUUAACCUGUCGCGGGUUAUUUUGA
rnacentral:rRNA from 1 species